GGCAUGGUGGUGCAGUGGUUAGCGCUACCGCCUCAAAGCAAGAAGGUCGUGGCUUCGAAUCCGGCCUGGGGCC